CAGCAAUGUCAGCACAGCUACAUGUACUGGAUGAUAAUGAAACGGCAUAUCUACUGAAGUUAGCGUGCUAACCCGCUAGCUCCUGCACAUCCUGUGUUGUAAUUGUCACUGCAGCGUCCAGUCUGCCCUCAGUCCAAUAAAAGAGGACAAAGAAGUAGAGCCGCCUAGAGGACUUGUCACACAUGUUGAAUGUAAGUAACUUUAGCAUGUCACAGAAACAAAUGGGUGAAGUUCGGUGAAGUUCUUGGCAAGUGACCUUUAUCACCAUCCCAACCACCCAGUCUUGGCAAGAAACCACGUUCUGCAGCAAAGAAGAAGAUAUAUUAAAAGAAGCAAAACAAGAGUAAAUUUUGGCAUGCUUUUCCAUGCCAAGAGCUGGAGACAGCUCUUGGUGAGUAAAGAGAUGUGGUUUGAUGUUGAACUCGCAAUGUUUUUUCUAGACUGGUAAGUUACAUCUAACUUUGGCUAUUUAGCGAAAAGUAUCUUUAUAAUGCAACUAAAUGAUGUUUUAUUUUCCUUACUACCUCUCCUCUUGUUUCCGGUCACUUUAUUUCCUGUUUGAUUGUUUGGUCGACCCUGAUUUGGCCCCACCUGUGUUUAUUCCUACCUGUGUCUUGUUAAUCACCUCUCUUGUGUGUAUAUAGUGUCGGUGUGUUCUUUAUCCUUUGGUCAGAUCAUCUUUGUGUGUUUGUCAAGGGUCCCACCCCUUCUUCUGUGCUCUUUUUGAAUAACCUGUUGCCUAUAUUGCUUUGCAUUCUUUGAUUUUGGAUUAUUUGCCUGUUCUCUUUGGAUUGUUUGUUUUCUGCUACUUGUUUUGGAUUCUGGCCUGCCACCACUCUCUGUAAGCUUACUCUCAGUUGUUGUUUCAUUUAAUAAAAUACCAUAAACUGA